GGGAACAUACCCUUUUCUACGGAAUAGCUCUGGGAAACUGGAAUUAAUACCGUAUACGCCCUACGGGGGAAAGAUUUAUCGGGGAAGGAUUGGCCCGCGUUGGAUUAGCUAGUUGGUGGGGUAAAGGCCUACCAAGGCGACGAUCCAUAGCUGGUCUGAGAGGAUGAUCAGCCACAUUGGGACUGAGACACGGCCCAAGCUCCUACGGGAGGCAGCAGUGGGGAAUAUUGGACAAUGGGCGCAAGCCUGAUCCAGCCAUGCCGCGUGAGUGAUGAAGGCCUUAGGGUUGUAAAGCUCUUUCACCGAUGAAGAUAAUGACGGUAGUCGGAGAAGAAGCCCCGGCUAACUUCGUGCCAGCAGCCGCGGUAAUACGAAGGGGGCUAGCGUUGUUCGGAAUUACUGGGCGUAAAGCGCACGUAGGCGGAUAUUUAAGUCAGGGGUGAAAUCCCAGAGCUCAACUCUGGAACUGCCUUUGAUACUGGGUAUCUUGAGUAUGGAAGAGGUAAGUGGAAUUGCGAGU
rnacentral:rRNA from 1 species